rnacentral:rRNA from 2 species
GACGAACGCUGGCGGCGCGCUUAACACAUGCAAGUCGUGCGGUGUCGAAGGCAAGUCUUACGACAAGCCUUCGACACAGCGGCGAACGGGUGAGUAACACGUGAGUAGCUGUCCUAAGGAGGGGGAUAACGCCUGGAAACGGGUGCUAAUACCCCAUAUGCCUCGCAAGAGGUGAAAGUGUACUUGCUACAGCCUUAGGGUGUGCUCGCGGCCUAUCAGCUAGUUGGUGAGGUAACGGCUCACCAAGGCUAAGACGGGUAGCCGGCCUGAGAGGGUGUACGGCCACACUGGAAUUGAGAUACGGUCCAGACUCCUACGGGAGGCAGCAGUGGGGAAUCUUGGGCAAUGGGCGAAAGCCUGACCCAGCGACGCCGCGUUGGGGAUGAAGCCCUUCGGGGCGUAAACCCAUGUUGUAGGGGACGAAGAAAGUGACGGUACCCUACGAGAAAGCCCCGGCCAACUACGUG